UACGAAGGGGGCUAGCGUUGCUCGGAAUCACUGGGCGUAAAACGCACGUAGGCGGAUUGUUAAGUCAGGGGUGAAAUCCUGGAGCUCAACUCCAGAACUGCCUUUGAUACUGGCGAUCUUGAGUCCGGGAGAGGUGAGUGGAACUCCGAGUGUAGAGGUGAAAUUCGUAGAUAUUCGGAAGAACACCAGUGGCGAAGGCGGCUCACUGGCCCGGUACUGACGCUGAGGUGCGAAAGCGUGGGGAGCAAAUAGG
rnacentral:rRNA from 1 species